rnacentral:lncRNA from 1 species
AUCGUCGGUCGUCGCUCUCCACGCAAUCUUCGGCCGUCGCUCUCCAGUCCAUCGGCUCUCAACGCUGUCAGCAACUUGGUUGUCCUCAAUCCUCUGUCUUCCUCAGUCCUCAGUCUUUCUCAGUUCUCAGUCCUCGCCUCCUCGGUCCUCAUCAGCAACUGUAAAAGGUAAGUAAAUUUUUUUUACACUAUUCAGAAAAUUGUUGGUUGUGUAACUUUGUUGUUUGAGGUAUCUUGUUAAAUGUUGCUCUCCAAUCCAUCAGAAACUGCCUAUGGAAAGUAAAUGAACUGCUCAUUCACUGAUCAAUUAUCAAUAGAGCUUUCUUAUUUAUUUUUUACAGUACUUGGUUUGGAACUUACUGUUUCUUAUCAAUAGCCAUGCCGAUCAGAAAAUGAUUGUAAUGAAAUUAGUUUGCUGGUUUUAAUGAAUAAUGCAUUAUUGUGUCCAUUUUUUUUUAGCAUUAAUCUUAGUUUUGGACAUGUUCAAAUCAAUUGUAUAACAUGAUUAUGGUUUAUAAAUGAAAAUGGGCUAAUUACAUAAGCUGCUUGGAUAUACAGAAAAGAAGCUAAAAAGUCCAAACAUAACUUUGCAUAACUUGUCCUUUCAUUAAACAAAUAGAAAAGAAUACAAAUGCAUACAUAUUGUCUUUUAAAUAUUUGCAUAGCUGGAUAUUUCUCAAAAAGUUAACUACUGAUGAGAACAAAUCUCAUAUUACAUGAAAAGAAGAAACUAUAACAGCCCAAGAAACCAAUAAAAUCCCAAGCCAUUUUAAUCUAUAAAAUCACAAAAUCCCAAUUCUCUAAUCCACAAAAUCAUGAAAUUCAAUAAAAUCUGCCAUCAUUUAACUAAUUUAAUCUAAGCUUCAAUUGUCAUUUUGAUGAGUUGCAUUACCUCUGGCUGUGCAUCUUUGUUGCUACACUGUUUGUUAAAGAGUUUAGACUUCUGAAUCUUAGGAAGAAAUUUAUAAUAGUUUAUUUGGUUAUUUUGGGUAUUUAAAGUAUUUAGUUUAUUUUUUGUAUUUGACUUUGUUGUUACAGUAGGUGCUGUUUGUCAUUAGAUAUUUUGGAUUAUUGAGAGUCAAAUCAGAUUAAGAACAUUAUUCUAUUAUUUGUUGUGGUUCUUCAUAAAUCUGGUUUUUUUAGCAAACAGUCAUAUACCAUGAACAUGAAGGUUCUCUUAUUAGUUUGACUCUAAUGCUGGCCUUGCAGAAAAAUUCGCAUGCAAAGCAUGUGGCACUAGACUAGUCAGAACAUAUUUAUAUAUUUAUAUAUACCAUGAACAUAUUUACUAGCAUUGAUAUUCUUUUCUUCAAUACACAUCUUGUGUGUACAUUAGAUUUCAUUUAGUGUUAUAAUUGAUUGAGAUUUAUAAUUUAUUUAUUUACAGAUGGAUCAACAAGAACCAUCAAAUCCUACGUCACAACCUCCUGUUUCUUCGAGCAAUAUUGAAGCUGCCGAUGCAACUUCCAAAAUGAAGAGGAAGAGUAUGAAGCCAAGAUCAGUUGUGUGGGACCACUUCUCUAAGUUUAUUGAUGAUAUGGGAAUUCAAAAAGGCAAGUGUAAUUACUGUGAAAAGGAGUUUUAUUGUGAUCCAAAAAAAAAUGGCACAUCUACACUUAAACAUCACAUGUCUGCAUGCAUAAAAAACCCCCAUAGUGUGACUACUAGACAAUCACAAUUGUCUUUACAACCACUUUCUUCUAGUACACAAGAGGGAGGGGGAAAUUAUCAAUUUGGCACACUAAGUAGUUGGCAUUUUGAUCAAGAUGUGGCUAGACAUAAGUUAGCUAAAAUGAUAAUUAUUGAUGAGCUGCCAUUUAUGCUUGUAGAAGGGGAAGGGUUUAAGGAAUGGGUUGAAUGCAUACAGCCUAAGUUUCGAAUUCCAUCCCGUUGGACUAUUUCAAGGGAUUGUUAUGACUUAUAUUUAGAGGAGAGAAAGAAAUUGAAGAGUUACUUUCAAAAGUGUAGUCAGAGAAUUUGCAUUACCACAGACACAUGGACUUCAUUGCAAAGAAUUAAUUAUAUGUGUAUCACUGCACACUACAUUGAUGAUAAUUGGACACUUCAUAAAAAAAUUCUUAAUUUUUGUCCAAUUGGAAGUCAUAAGGGUGAUGAUAUUGGCAUGGCUAUUGAGAGUUGUUUACUUAAUUGGGGAAUUAAAAGAGUAUUUACAGUGACUGUGGAUAAUGCUAGUUCCAAUGAUGUGGCUGUUACAUAUUUAAAAAAGAAAAUUAAUGGUUGGGGAUUUAGGAUUUUAAAUUGCAAAUAUCUUCAUAUGAGAUGUAUUGCCCACAUAAUUAAUUUAGUUGUGGUUGAUGGACUGAAAGAAAAUAUUGAAGCAGUAAAAAGGGUUAGAGAAGCAGUGAGAUAUGUGAGACAAUCUCCUGCUAGAUUGCAAAAAUUCAAAUCAUGUUGUGAGAUGGAGGGGAUUCAAAGCAAAUGUCAUUUAUCUUUGGAUGUUUCCACUAGGUGGAAUUCCACCUAUUUGAUGUUGAGAACUGCGGAAAAAUUUGAAAAUGCAUUUGAUAGAUUUGCAACUAUUGAUCCAUGCUUUAAGUUUGAUCUUGUAUCUGGUAAAGAAUGUGAUGAUGUGCCUGAUAGUUUGGAUUGGGACUAUAUUAGAAAAAUUGUAGAUUUCUUGGGUCAUUUUUAUGAUCUUACAUUAAAGAUUUCAGGUUCUAGAUAUGUCACUUCCAAUAUUUUUUUUGAUGAGAUUAGUUCAGUUGAUUGUUUAUUACAAGAGUGGAAAAUUAGUGAUGACCUAACUUUGGCAAAUAUGGGUGAGAAGAUGAAAGAGAAGUUUGAUAAAUAUUGGGGGGAUCCUGAUAAAAUGAACAAACUUAUUUAUAUUGCGGUUGUGAUGGAUCCUAGAUAUAAGAUGGAAUUUAUGGGUUUUGCACUUUCUGCUGUGUAUGGGAAUGGAAAGGGUUUGGAUUUAACAGAUAAAAUUAAAUCUGCUGUGUAUGAGUUGUUUGAUGAAUACAAGAGAAUGUUUGCUAAUGAAAAUGCAAACAUAAAUUCAAUUGCAAUUGAAAACUUGGAUGAGGAAGGAUCAAAAAAGAGAUCAAGGAUGAAUUUGGGUAGUCAAUUUUUAAAACAUAAAAUUGAGAUUGGAGAAGCUAAAAAUAAGUCAGAUCUGGAUUGCUAUCUUAACGAGAGUAUUCAUGUGGUGGAUGAGAAAGAUGAAUUUGAUAUAUUACUUUGGUGGAAACUUAACUCUAAUAGGUUCCCUAUCCUUUCUCAUAUGGCUAGAGAUAUUUUAGCAAUUCCUAUCUCUACUGUUGCAUCAGAAUCGGCUUUUAGCACAGGGGGUAGAGUACUUGACUCUUUUAGGAGUUCUUUAACUCCUAAAGUUGUUGAGGCUUUAAUAUGUGCACAAGAUUGGCUUCGAAAAUCUUAUUGUCGUAAGUCCAUUGAAGAACAAAUAGCAGAUAUGGAAAGACUUGAAGAAGGUAUGUAGAAUCUUAUUUAAUUUUUUAAAUUAUUAUUGGCUUAAAUGUUUUACACUUGAUAAAUAUUAAAUUAUUUUUUUAUUAUUUUUUCAGCAUUUGCAAAUUGUGAGGUGGGUAGCAGUAUUAAUGAAAACAGUCAAAAUACCGUCAAUUGAUAUAAAAUGGGAUGAUUUAAAGGUAGAUAAUUUUUUCUUGUUAUUAUUUAUUAUUGAAUUGAUUCUGACAACUUUUUAUAGCUAUUCUAAUAUUUUUUAUACUUGCAAGUGAAAUAUCAGUUCAAGUUUGAAGAAUAUGGUGGUCAGAGACUUGAUGGCAAAAAUGAAGAUAUUUUUGUUUAAUUUUAUGCUCGUUCAAUCGUUUGGAAUUUGAAUCAUGUAAUUUUAGAUUUUUGGAUUAUGCAAUUUUCUUUAUAUUUAUAUUGGUGGCAUAUAUAUGUCUGUUGGAUUGAUGUCACUGAUGGAGUUGAUACUGUUACUAUAGUUUACAAGUUGCUAACUGCAAUGAGCUUCAGCGUCCUGUCAGCAAAUGUUGGACUUGGAAAUCUAACACAAGAUAGAUUCUUUUACUGUUCUGUUGAUCACUUCUGAAAUAUAGGUGUAUAUUUGUGCUUGAUUGUUUAAUCUUCCUGCUGUGGAAAUAGAGAGCAGCAGUACAAAUUUUGUUGCUUACUAGUGUUGUCAUUGCAUACUUGGUUUCAAUUUGCUAUUUUAUGGUUAGUAUUAUUUUACUGUUAUUGCUCUAUUUUGUAUUCUUGCGUUCAGAUUUUAUCUUCCCAAUCUGUACAUCCGAUGACACACUGCUUUUUGAAUUGAGUAUUGGGGCAUUUCAGCUGGGGUUCGCAUGAAUAUAUUUGCAUUUGUAUUUUUUUUUUUGAAAAUAAAUAGAUAGAAUUUUAAUUUUUAUAUUGUUUUAUGAUUAUUAUUGAUUUUUUAUUUGUAAAAGUUAAAAUUAAAAUAUUUUAAUAGAAUUUUAGAAUGAAUUUAAAA